GGGAAGUUGGCCGAGUGGUCGAAGGCAGCGGUUUGCUAAACCGUAGAGCCUGGAUAACGGGCUCCGAGGGUUCGAGUCCCUCACUUCCCGCCA
rnacentral:tRNA from 1 species